rnacentral:lncRNA from 1 species
AAGAAGAAGAAGAAGAAGAAGAAGAAUUGUUUAUUAUAGUGCAACAUGAAUAUAAAGUACAUCAUUACAUUAAAUACAUAAUAUAAAACUUCAGCCAGACAAAUAGGCUUAUGAUGCACUGUUUGAAUUGUUAUUUAACAUACAUAUAAUUCAUUGUUCAUAAAAUUUAAUGUCAUGUUAUAUAUAUAAAAGAGGGACGAAAGAUACCAAAGGGACAGUCAAACUCAUAAAUCCAAAACAACUGCAACGCCAUGGCUAAAAACGAAAAAGACAAACAAACAACAGCACACACGACACAACAUAGAAAACCAAAAAAUAAACAACACGAACCCCA